AGGUUUUCACGACACAAAAUUGUGUCGGCUAUCUGCCACAAAGAGCUUCAAUAUACCUAUCGUGUUAUCAAUCUCCAUACAAUGGUGGUAUAGGAGUUGUAGUCUUUCAAUUCUAACAAAUGGAACUAUUUGACAAGUAGAAAUUAAAGUAACCCUCCAGUGCGUGAGAGAUGAGCUGGUAAUGAAAAUAAUAAUACAAAAAACUAAAUUUCUGAGUCUCUGAUUCAUGUACAAAUCAGGUAGGCUAUCUUUCCUAUCAGUGCUUUUUCUUUUCACCACUAUCGCGACCACGUUUAAACUGUGAAAACCACGUUUAAACUGUGCCAGGAAUAACUAUGGUGUUGCUUAAUAACUAUAAACUUUCUUAGCUCCCUUUUUUUUUGUCAUGAUCAUGUUUGUCAACAAUGAUCCAGGGGGUGUAGUCCUGCAGGUCCUCAGGGAUGCGACUGGUAAAAAUUAUGAUUUUUUUUCUGUGUUGGCGUUGUGUACUCAGGUGAAUAUGAUGUUUGUGAUGUUACUCUGAGUGUAUAUCCACACCAUGCAUAUAGGAGAUGAGCUCGUGGUAAAUAAAUAUAUUUCUAAAGCUACAACAAUCUAGCAUAUAUAUAAUAUUUUAUAUAUUCAAGUCGCCACACAAUAACAACAUUUAUAAGAAACAAAACGCAAGCUAAUUCAUUCUUUGUCACGUAUUCGUUCACAUAUAUUUUAUGUCGCAUUUUCAUGGAAUCAUGGACAUAUAUUUUUGCAUCCCAUAACAAAACUAUAUGUUAGUUGCGGCGUUGCACUUAUAAAGCCAUGCAAGAACUAGGUCUAGGAACACCCAUUGCAUCGAUGCGAAUGAAAAAAUGUCGUACGACUGCACGCCUUAUUUAUCUUAUAGGUUUUCAAGAUGCAAAAUUGUAUGGACUAUCUACCUCGAAAGAGCUUCAAUACUUACGGUUUUGUUCUUCUCACGUUAUUCGGGUUGUUUGCUGUCGUAGUUAUAAGCAUCUCGGGUUCUUUAGCCUUCGACACAUCAUUUCAUUGUUAUGACAAGACCAUUUCAAAGACGAAGGAGGCAUCUCUAAUAAAGAACAUCAACAUAAAAUGUUCCCUCGAGUAUCAAGAGAAAUUCCUCUUUAUCCUACCUAUGUAUGCUAUGUUUAUCUUAAACUUUAGCAUCGUCUUUGCUUUGAGUAUUAUCUAUGCAUACUUGGUGAAACAUCGUGUUGAGAAAUUUGAUUAUCCGACCAGAACGACAACUUCCAAUAAUGACGGCGAUGAAAAUCAAGAGAUGCUGCCUUCACCAAAUCCCGGCCAGAACCCGCGUGAUGUUCGUGAAUGUUUGGGUCGUUUUUCAACAUUUUCCAUUUAUGUCGUUCAUUUGCUAGUCGCUC